ensembl:lncRNA
UUCCUUGAACUGACCCAAACCAGGGCAUGAUGAGGCUUCAGCCCAUGCAUACAGUAGGACUGCAUUCCUUUUCUCAUGUUUCUUUUUCACCUAAAAACAAAUGCUGGAAGCCCAGGAGUUGAUCAGUUCCCAUCUGAACAGGGCCCUCUGAAAGAUGCCCAAUGCACCGUUGCUGGAAGAUCAAAGGCAAAUGCAUAGUCACAGAAAUACUGGUCGAAAGAUGCCUGUGAAGGCCAUCAACUCCAGCCUUCCUCUGCAAGCAGACUGCUGGUGAAUCAGGUCAGCUGAGACACUGUUGAGACUUGGAAGUAUCCGCAGGCUGAGGCACCACAGCCUCUCCAGGCACAGUACAUCCUGGUUUUCCAGAAGAGUGCCACAGAGUAUUGGAGCCUGCCCAGCUCUAUGCUCCUUGAGUAGAGGUCCAGCAGAUGGAAGGGGUGAGCCAGGUAAAACUUCUCCAUAAACACAAGCCCUUUUGUCAGAGGAGAGUGAGACUGCAUCUCCCAGAAAGAAAAAGGCCUGUGGGAUAGCAAAGAAGCCAGGGAAGAGUUCUUCCCCACCUGUGCACCCAGCUUAAUGCCAGGCUGCAUCCACCAAACCACAGCAAUUCAUUGGUAGAUCAGGUGUUGCCCUGAUAAAAGCCAGCAGGGUUUGCUGAUCCAACAUCAUAAAACAGCACACAUUGGCAGCAUUGUGCAUAACAUCUGAAAGCUCUGAAAAUAAGUGCACGCAUCUUAACACAUAGAUAAUGUUUAAAUGCCAUCCCCCAAAACAGGAAAAAAAAAAAAAAGUAAAAUGAAGUCAAAACUCUGGGUUUUAGCUAUUAAAUUUUCUCAUCUGUCUUUCACUUGUUUCCAGUUAUCUGUGGUCUUUUAACAGCUCAGGCAGCAGCACAGGUAAGCAACAGCAUUGUGCUGGCUUGGUAAGUGCAGACAGUUCGGUAUUAGGAGUAUCAUACAUCUGUUUCAGUGUUUGGCCCUGCUUUCUUUGCUGCGUGAGCUCCAGCUCAUGUAUGUCUGAUAAUCAGGAUUGUACUUAAAAUCUGAAAAUAUAUAUUAUACACGGGCAUGGAUGUAUUGUGAUGCAUCACACAAACCAUAUAUCAUUUACCUGGCCAGCCAUAAGGCCUAGAACACUAAUCCCUCUAAGUGGUGACCUUACAGACUUCUGAUGUGACUUGUGGCUGGCUGACAGCUGUGCAUGAGAGCAAAACCUCUGCUCUCCCCCUCAAGCACUCCCUAGGAAACCUCCAGCAGCAGGAUGGGUGAGACAAAUGCUCUGUCUCGUAGAAUGGCUUGGGUUGGAAGGGACCUUAAAGAUCACUGAGCUCCAGCUCCCUGCUGUGGCCAGGGUUGCCAACCGCUAGAUCAAGCACCUCGGCUACCUCAUAAGUCUUGGUAAUACAGCUCAGAAAUGGCACUAAUCCCAGCAAGAGAUACACAGUACAAGUAACACUGGUAGCUGUGCGCAGUGAGAUGAACAGCACUGAUCAAAGGCCAUGAGAUAAUGACUGAUAGAGCUGUGCCGCCCUUUUACAGCCAGGAGGAGGGUAACUAUUUAAACUGUUCUCAAGAAGUGAACUUCAGUCCGUAAGGGAAAAUCUUCAAUAAAGUCUUAUAAAAUAAAUCAUCUGUUUAAAGUUUCACACUGCCAUGAAUGAAAGUCUGAAGUCAAUAGCAGAUCUAUUGUUAGAAAGUACUCUACUUUAUAUGCCAUGACAUUUCCUUAUGAUGGUAUACCAGACAACCAUCUUCAAGAAGUCUAUGAGAGCAGAACAUGAGAGCAGUUUAGCUUCUAGUGGAACAUGUCUGAGGCACACUGCUCUAAGAAAAUGCACGUUCACAAGAUGACAUUUUGAAUGUUUGCGUAACCCAUUCACACAGAAGGAGCAUUCAGUAGGAACGUUGUGGCAGGGCUGCUCAGGGUACAAAUCUCAUUUCAGUGCUUCCUUUUGGGACCAGCCCAGUUCUGUUAUGCUCCCCACCUGCCACUGCUGUAUCCAAGCACGGGAGAAGCAGCUCCGGGCUGAGGCUUGGCUCACUGGUAAAGGACAAAAGGCACAUCCCAGCCUGGGUAAGUCCAUCUGGAAAAUAGCUAGAAUAUGACCAGAGAUAAGUAGGUUAAAUGACCAGAACACCAUUAGAGCGUAUGAUCCUUAAUUACUACUUCCAGAACACUUUGAUGUCCUUAGGGAGGGAGCAUAUAAAGUUCAAAAUGAGUGCUUAAUAAGUGAGAUUUUCAAAAGCAUUUAAAUAGCAAAGGAGUUCCAGAGACCGCUAAGUUCCAUGGGGAGCUUUGAAAUUCCCCCUCAAGAUAAUAAUUGUACGUCCCACUAUUUGUUAAAAAGCCUUUCUUCUGCAGCGAUAGCCUGUAUUACGUAUACACAUUCUGUAGUCAUGUUUUUGUUCUCUGACUAACUGAAAGCAUAGCCUCAGUGUAUCUCUCUGCGUGUUGUGCAAUAGCAGAUUUGGAAUUUGCAUUUUUUAGAUUACCAGACAAUAAAAAAAAAAAAAAAUAGAGAUUGCGUAGAUAUGCGCCACCCUUCAUUAAAGGCAGUGAUAUUCUCUCCCACCCAGCCCUGCCUAACCAACACAGUAUUGCACAUAUGCCUCCAGACAAUGAGACUACCACACCUUUAGCUUCUAAUUAAAAUUAUUAAGUCGAGAAGGAAAGAAAUGCAUUUUAGUCUGUGCUUGUUAGCCAAAUGUCUCGAUAAAACUGAACAUGUUCUGCUGCUGCCCACCAUCUGUUCUUAUAAAUACUUAUUAAAAACACUGAAUGGGAAAAUAAAUUUGUCAUCACUGACUUUCAGGGAUUUACACCAACUCUGCCCUCAGCUUCGUCUCUAAUGCAGGCUAAUAAACAUCUGUGGAACACGAUACAUUUUUUCCCAUUAAAAAUAUUUUGCAUUUGACAAACUUCAGUAGAAAAGAUUCCAAACCAACGCACGUAUGAAGCUGAAUACAUAGAGGAAUGAGGCCAUCUUUAAUGAGGAUGGUAAUCUAAUGGGGCAAUCUUGCUUUUCCUCUCUUGACCCAUUCCUUACAUAUUCUCAGUCUUUGCACUGCUGAAGAAGUCAACUACCACAGAAGCACUACACCUCCCUGCCUUUCAUGAAGAGGGGCUUCAGCUUUGAGGCAUCAAAAAAAAUCUUAUUAAUUUCCCUCCACUGGUGGAAAUUCAAAUAUUUUGCAUUAAUGAGUUAAAAAAUAAAUAAAAAAUCAGACUUAACCAUAGCACCCAGUCCAAUCAUGAUUCUUCAUCUAUUGCACCUGAUAGAGUGAAGAAAUCCCAGCUGAUGCAAUGCAGCUAUCAGUAAAUAGGGGUUGACAAGAAUGUCAGUGCUGUUUCUCUUGCAGACUUCCUAAUGAACUUUAGGCCUAAUCAUCAUUCCCAGGCUCUCAUCAGGCAAUUUAAUUAACUUGCCAUCAGUGUCUUCUGUUGAAGCAGAUAAAACAUUAUAGGUACAAUGUUAUGGCCAGGUGCGAUGACAAAGCCAGUAGUAUUUGGAAAAUGAAGGAAAAGGGGACUUUCCUGAGAACACUGCUCAUCUCUAGAACCAUCAUUCUUUAGUGCCUGAAAGACAGGUAAGUAUCCUCCUGCUUGCAGGAAAAAAUGUGAGCUCUGUUUGCAGAGUAAUUGUUGUUAAUUCAUAUUUUUCUUGGUAACUCUUCUCUCUUCCCACAGAUAGUCCUCCCAGUCAAGACACAGUUCCCAAGACAGAAGUGCCUUUACAAGAGAGAUGAAGGAAUGGUACUAGAUAUCAACAUUGUCGGGGUCAGAAGGGGCUCAUAGGUACAGGUACUAAAUUCCCUGGGGAUCUACUUCAGGUGGGACAGAGGCCAUGGAUUUUUUUCAGCAAUUUUUGGUGAGAAAGAGGCUGAGCCCGUGCUAUUGAAGUAAAUGCUGCUCAGCUGAUACCAAACCAGUUGUGGGCAGCUUAGUACUAAUCCCAUCAAAGACCAGCAGUGUUUAGGUGGUGCAAGGCUGGGACUACAUUGGGGCUGGUGCAGUACUGUAAGGAGAAGUCACACCUCCUCCUCAGGCAGGUGUUCUGCAUCCUGCCAGAAGGGGAAGGGAGAGCAAGGAGAGGGCUGAAAUAUAUCUCAUACCAACUGGAAGGGAGCGUGGUUGUUCUGAACUGCAGGGGCACAAGGCAGUCAAAAAGAACAGCAGCAUGUCUUGAAAUAAUAACAUGCAUUAUUAUUUUUAUAUAUCAUAUAUCAUGUAAUAUGCAAUAAAUUGUUUCUAGCAGACAGCAUGAACAAAGAGUGCCUUUUCCACCAUCUGCAAAUUCUCCCUAGAAACUGUUAGGAGUGGGCUUUCCCCUGCAAUUCCUGGUACCAUCCAUUUCAGGUUAGACUGGAAGUAUUGUGAAAGAGGCUGUCGUUGACUCGUUAACAAACCCAGCUCUUUCAGGCUUCUGACUCUCUCACAUUCAAAUCUACAAAACGUCUCUGUGCACUGAUGCAGAGGUGACCGGGGAUGUUAUCUUAUAAAAGACAUUAGAGUAGCUUCGAAAUUCAGAAAUGAAACUUUGCAUUAUCCCCAAGGCUGCUUAUAGGCCAGCCAAGGUGAGAACAAAGAGGAAAAAGUGAAGAUGGAAGUAGGCACUAGAUUACAACUGAGAUGUGUUUCUGUUUUUUCUCUGUGCAUUUGGUUGGUAUUCUGUUUUUUUUUUCCCCACUCUCUCCCUUAUUUUCAGUACGUACAAUAGUUAACUCUGUAAGCUAGCCAAAACUUUCUGAAGGCAAUGGGAAGGAAUUACACUGGUUGCAAAUAUGCACUGGGUAUAUAUGGCCUUUUGUAAAUAGAAAAGCAUGAGAUGUUCCAAAUCCAACUUAAUAUACUUCAGUAGCUUCACUUUAUAUUUUGUUACUGUAGUAUACUGGAAUCUCAGAUUGUGUUUGGAGUAAAUAGUUGCUGACUAAAAAUCUCAGCAAGUACACACACAGAUUUGUUUCAAGAUUCUGAAAAGAAACAAACUGCUGUCCCCUUCUAAAAUCUCUGAAGUUUUGGAGUUCUUGCAGAUUUUCAUCCCAGAACCAAAAAGCAAGAAGCUGGAAGUGCAGGAAAAGAGCAUGGAAGGAGAUUGACAUCUGUUUUCCCUUCACCGCCCUAAAGCAGCUCAGCAUCUGUUCCUGAGCAGCUGAGGAACCUCUGCUGUGGAGGCAAGAACCUUGGAGAGAAGGGCAGGGCACAUUUCCUGACUAAAGUCAAAGGCACAAGGUGAGUAUGUGAGCAUGUGUCGUGUGCUGCAUUAAGGAAAUCUGAGGAGAAUGCACUCAGUAAAAGGCAAAUAGAGCUUGGCAGUAUAAGUAUGUGGGGAGAAUGUGAGAAGAAGAGGGGAGAGAAGGUGACACAGAGCCGUUAAGUGAGGUCAGAUCAUUGUUCAGGUCUUCAAUAGAAUGUCUAGGAGGAGGUCCUAUGUCUAAGGUCUCAACUGUGGAAGUUCUUGUCCUAUAGCAAGGUAUGAAACAAAGCCAUGGUCUCCUUGCUUUUGAGACUUUAAAAGUGAAAGAAGUGAAAGAAGUAAAACUCAGCUGGUCAUCUGGAUUUAAAGAAUUAAGCACUUUAUUUACAUGUAGGCCCAAAAGAAUUAAAUGCAGAAGACGAGAAUGUUCUUUGAAGAUGCAGCUGAUUAUUUUUCUAAUCUGAUGUGUCAGCAGCAGCUUAGAUUCUACCCUUAGAAGGAAUGCAGCCUUACAGCAGUUACCUUUGAAAAUCCAGUUUCUCUUUAAAGAGCUUUUGUUUUCUUCAACCAAUAUUUGAAUUGUAUUCGGCAGUUGACGUAUUUAAUGAUAAAUUGACUGUUGGUAUGGAAGGCAACACAGGUGUCAUUCUGAUUUAGAAAAGAGGAGCAGAAGAAUCAAAUCAAACACUACUUUACUCCUCAGCUCUUUGAAGCAAAGAGGAAAGAGCUUUACUCACAAUGCCAAAAAAUAAAAAGAGAAAGGCAACUACAUUUUCUAUCUGGUAUUUUAUUGCUGUUUUCUGGAGAUAGUCUUCCUCUGAGCUUCCUCAGGUAAGCCAGCAAUUCAUCUUAUUCUUCAAAGUGUGAGAAACCAGCAAGUCUCUUGGGGCUCUUAAGGAUGUUUGUCUAUGGACUUCUGGUUCACCAGCAUGAGUUUAAGCAGUCUGUGAAGUGAGAGAGAUGAGAACAAAACAGAACACUAAGUCUUGUUAUUAGGAUAAUUAAUACACUCUGGAGUGUAAAUAAUAAACCUGCAAUUGGAACUAGUUAACAGUCAGCUUCCCAUCCAUGCUUAGCACUGGUAAAUUAAUGAGUAUCACCAAGAGCAGAAAAGCAAAACCUGGAGUUGUCAAUGCUGAAGUCUGGAGAUCCGCAACUCUCUAAAAUGACAGACAAGACAAAGCAAAAAAACCAAAAUGUUUUAAGAGUCAGGCACUGGCAAUUUCUGCCUCUCUAGGGAAACAAUGCUGGAAGUGCUGGCCUCUCUCCUCUGCCACCAGGUGCUGGCCAACACUGAGAUGCCAAACUGGAGGCUGGUGCACCCACCAGAUCUCUAGGAUGUCUCUCGGAGAUUGUGCAGAUCCGAGCAGCAGCACAAAGCAUCGUGAAGUCAAAUGUAACAUUAAAAAUGCAUUCAGCAUGGUAAGUCAGCGUAUCCUUCUACCUAGAUUCCUUUGAAAAUCAGAGCUCAUCUGGGACAAGUAUGACUCCAUGUAUGUGAGUAUAUAGCGAACACUGUUGAACUUGUUGGAGACCUUUAACGUUAUCAAAAUACAACUAAUAGUAAUUAAUAUUUACUUGUCAUAUAGCCUCUCCAAUGAAGAACUAAAAUCAAAAUUAUAACCCUUCUGGGAAUAUGCCAAAGCUGAAGGAAAAGCUAGAAGCACACUAUUCUGUAAUCAGGUCAACUUACCUCAUAGCACUUGCUGUAAAAAUAUGAAUUACAUUAUGUUCCUUUGGCAUUUCUGUGGUUGCCAAUUAUAUUCAAACAUUGUAAAGAGCCUUGCAAACAAUUUGGAUGGAUUCAUGGCUUGCAGUAAGAAUGGCUGUACCCACAGAGCAAGCCUGUGCCAUAGCAAACUUCUCUGCGUUGGUCCUGGCUGCAUCCCAGCAGUACCACAAGGCAAGGCCUGGGGGUCACCAACUCCUGCCUGAGGGAAGCCCACAAAGCAAAUAGAAAGGGAAAUACUGCAGAGCACAGCCCAUCAGCAGUGGGUGACAUGCAGCUGCAAGCACUUAGUCCCUCAGGAGCAGGAUUAACCAAAUCAGUGGUUCUUGGGACAAUGAUGAUGGACUUUGGGUUUAGUAGGGAAAGUGCUGGUGACAGGUAUAAUGGAAUCAUAGUUUAAAUAUAGGAGAACUACAUGCUUUUCUCUUUUUCCUUUUUUUUUUUUUUUUUUUUAAUACAUCGGUAUGUAAAUGGAAAGUCUGGAGUGCUGUUAUAGUUUAAUUUUUAAAUGGCUGAAGAUCCCAAAACUUUUUAUUUCUUCAGCUGCUUCAUAUACACAUUUGCACACACAACUUUGGAUGCUUGGUAUCUUUGAAAUUCAGGUCAUAUCCACUUGAUAGGCAUGUUUGGGCCUAAUUUUUACUUAUCUUUUAAAAAAUAAAUUUUGGUAAUAGUCUUCAGAAGUAGGAAAAUAGUGAGAAAUUUCUACUGUCAUGCAUGUUCUCACUUUACAGCCAAUCUGAAGUCUACAUGUUCAAAUAAAUCAGUGCUCAAGGACAUUGCUGUCUUCUUCAGGCUUAGGGAGUUAUGCCCAGGCCCAGGAGGUGUGUUUAGGUGCCUAAUGACCAGUGUAUUCCAUAGAUGUUUAAAUAUUAUCACUUAACCAGGACCUGCAUCCAUCUCUGGGCAGAAACAGACAGGAAAUUUUUAUAUCUAUCUAUCUAUCUAUUUUUAUAUCUAUUGAGGUAGACAAAAACUUCUACUUGGGACCCUUCUCAGCACUGCUGCAAGGUACAGGGUGGGGUGGAUAGGACGAAAGGGCACCCAACAUCAGCUGGGAUUGCCUCCCACAGCCAAACAGGGCCACAGCUCUCAGGCUGCUCAGGACAUGCACAGAACAAAACCUGCAGCAGCAUGUGCCCAGGAGAGCUCUGCUGUUUCCAAACACGCUGCAACAGCUGCAGAUGCCGCCCAGACACAGCACAGUGCCCAUCUUGCUCCCUUACCACAUGGUACGGACCCUGCUGCUUCUUGAAACUGCCCACGUGCUUGUACAAACCUGUACUUUGCAAAUGCUCACACACGGUGCAUGCAUGAAUUAUUCCCAGGUAUCUGUAAAAUUUAGUUUUGAAAACUGUAAAAUAAUGGCCUGACAACAAGCUGGUCAUAUUUUCCAUGGUUCAUUUACCUCAAACAAACUGAAGGAUCAGCAAAUGUUUUGUAUUAACUUAUUGUUGAGCCAUCCUUGAUUAAGAAAUCGGUUCUUCCUGAAACUUUAUCUGGGAGUGGUCAGGUCUCCACACAGCAUUUCUGCUGCUUUCCUGAGCAAUGGAAGGACCAACACCAGCAAAGAUGGACAACACUUGAGUACUGCCAUCUGUGAUACAAUCAACAGAGCCCCACAGCACUGUUGUUUGGAUCAUUUGGUGCCCAGUUCUGCUCCCACCGAGUUCACAAGAGUUUGUGAUGGGGCAUGUUCAGGCUUCCAGUGUAUUAGUAAUAAUGCUAAUGAUAUUGUAUGUUUUGCCUGCAUUACAGUCUGGUGCUUAGAAAAUAAACAUCUCGGCUUUGCCUCAGUGUUUAUCUCCAAUAAAUACCUCAGCUUUGCCUCAACAAUUAUCUCUUCACAGCAGACCAUUAUCCAGCAGCAACAUAUAAUUCCAUUAACAUUACCGUUUAAAAUAUAUCCUCUCCGUGCUGCAGGGAAAGGAGCUGUGUGUGGGAAAUGUCAGGGGCCCAUGCAUUUUUGGAAUUAAAAUUAAAUCAGUUGGGCUGUGUUUUAAUCCUCCUAGUUUUUGUUUUUCUAUUUCUUGUUUUGCAAAAUACGUGUUCUCUGUAGCUUAUGAGAAGAUUGCAAAUGGAGAAACUUGGAAGGUGCCCAGGGAAAGCAUAUUUCAGGGCAAUCGUGUGCCAAGGACUACUGCAGGGGAUAACUGAUAAAGGUCCAGCAUAUCGCCUGAACCUGCUUUGAACUGACAGUAGGACUUAGGAGCAGGUAGAUGUUGGGCUUUUUUGUAACUCUGAAGGAAGAGCUAUGAGAACC